rnacentral:lncRNA from 1 species
CUGGAGGGCAGAGGGAACCAGCCUCUCCUGACACCUUUGUGACCCACAUGAGCCACCCAGGUUGGCCACAUCUGCUUCACUCGGGAGGUUUGACCUCAGGCUUGCCCAGAGCCCACGUGGCCAGCCACCUGACACACUGGGGCCCGGUAACACUGGCCCAUAAGAUUACCCGUCACAGGAGAGACAGGGAUGCGCUGGGGUCUCUGGACCUGGGCUGGAGCUCUGGAAGGAGUGGGGGCCACAGUGUUGAGCAGGCUUUGGUGAGCGAGGUCCUCGGUCUCCACAGGCCGAGUGUGAAAUGCUGGCAGCCUUCACCUGCAGGUGCUCAGCAGGCAGCCGGAUCUAGG